CUGCAGUGCCAUGGAGAGGCUGCCAUCCUCUGAGGGCCUAGGCCCUGGGCUGACCUUUGGGAAGCUAGGCAAAAUGGUGGUGGAGCUGCUGCCCCCUGACCUGAGUCCACACCUCACCUUCUGCCAUCUCCAAAACAAGACACUGGUGUGUCCAUCUCUCAUUAGCUUAUUGUGAUCCCGCGUUAAGCAAGGGACAUGCAUUCCAAGACCCCCAGUGGAUGCCUGAAACCUCAUAUAAUAUUGAGCCCUUUUGUCUGAAUCUCAUUAUUGGACCACAGGAACAUGCAGCCAGUUCUAGUUCCAUGAGGGAACAAUAGGAAA
rnacentral:lncRNA from 1 species